AGCCCCACAUUGUGCUCACUAAAAUUGGAAGAUACAGAGAAGAUUAGCAUGGCCCCUAUGCAAUGAUGAUAUGCAAAUUCAUGAAGGAUUCCAUAUUUUU
rnacentral:snRNA from 1 species